rnacentral:sRNA from 1 species
UUAAGUUUUUAAUUAAAUUUAAGUGUGAUGUGUGAAGAACACAUUAACAAUUUUAGUACUUAGCGUACCUUAUUCAGUGUUUAGUUUAGUUUGUAAACAACGCUAUUGGUUACAUUAGUCAUCAGAAUGGAAAAUAAAACAAAAACACAAAAAUAGUUGUAAUAUAAAAAUCUUGUAAAUAAAUAAACUGUGACAACUUCAAGCUGUUAACCAGGCCACCAUGUCAGUCGGCAUUUUUUUGGUAUACCCAGCCGCCGGGCGUAAGUUUUUGCCAACACUAGACGAACCUUAAACAGUUCAUGUUGUUGGCUAGAAGAAAAAUGCAGCUUAAGCCUGAAAACCAUUCAGGCUCAAACACCAUAUUGGUGAUGCCAUUGCAAGCAGAUCAUGUUUCAACGGCCAUAGUACAAAUGCAUAUCGUACACCAAAAAGGUUUCGCUUAGCUUAUGCUAGUGUGGGAGUUGGACGUAACAGCCGGCUUCUUAUGGUCACAUGAACCCGCUCUGGUAAUGAAUAGAUUUGAAGGAGUUGCAAUUAAUUGGUAACGUAGUUAUAGUUUGUUUUCCUUUUAUUGAUUUUCUGUCCAAUUAUAAAUUUUAGUCAAUAAAAAGGAAAAAAGGAAUCCGAA